rnacentral:lncRNA from 1 species
CCCAGAAUACCAUCGGAGCUCCUCUGGAACAUGUCCUUGUCUUCUCAGAGUGUGAAGUGUGUGUGUGACAGUGCUUUUCUGAGGACUCAGGUGACCUGGAGGCUGGAGAACAGCAUGGAGCAAGGAAAACAAAGACGAUGUGCUGGAGUGUAUGUUGCUUUCAUAAUUAUGUGAAAGAAAAUGUAGAGAAAUUUGAAAGUGACCUUGAUCCUGGGAAAGCAGGUGCCAUGGACGGAGAGGGAGGCCAGAAUAUAAGUCACCAGGAAAAAGUGCCACUGCUGCAAACUCUCCCAACACGCCCAACCUCAUCACCGGGUUAUGAGGAGAGUGAAUCUCAGAUGAAAAUCCACCACCCCAUGCUGUGUCCAGCCAUGCUGGAGCCUGAGCAAAAGGAAGAAUGUGUGCCUCUGUGUACCUUUAUUAAUAGUUAAUAUUUAUAUUAUUAUAUCAUUAGUAUAGAAUAUCUUUUUUUUUUUUUUUUGAGAUGGAGUCUUGCUCUGUUGCCCAGGCUGGAGUGCAGUGGCAUGAUCUUGGUUCACUGCAGCCUCCGCCUCCCGGGUUCAAGCGAUUCUCCUGCCUCAGCCUCCUGAGUAGCUGGGAUUACAGGCACCCACCAUGAUGCCCGGCUAAUUUUUGUAUUUUUAAUAAAGAUGGGGUUUCACCAUGUUGGUCAGGCUGGUCUUGAACUCCUGACUGCAGGUGAUCCACUUGCCUCGGCCUCCCAAAGUGCUGGGAUUACAGGUGUGAGCCACUGUGCCCAGCCUCAUAUAUUAUCUUUUAUAUUUACUAUACAUUAUAAAUAUGUAUUAUAUAACUGAUUAUAAAAAAUAUAUAAAUUAUAUAAUAAAUAUAUAAAUAAAUAUAUAAAAAAUUAUAUAAAUACAUAUUAUAUAAUUAUAUCAUAUUAAUAUCAAAAGCUAAUAAAAGCUCUAAUCAAAAACCAUGACUAUAUAAUGCCCACCCAUAUUGCCUAACCUGUGUUUACCAUCUUCAGCCUUCGUAAACCUGCUGAGUGAAGGCGGCCCCAGGCAGGGGUCCUGGAAUCUCUGGCUGAUUGGAAACAACUGUUCUUGAUGCACAGUAAAGCUGGGCUAUAAAACAAACAUCAACAGCCUGUCUUUAUUUAAAACUGGGUAUUUUGUUCAUCACAGAUUUUUUAAAACUUGCGUUAAAAUAUUU